CCCACAGCCUAGGCUGGCUGCCUGAGAGUAGCGAGUGACAGGUAAGGGCUCUGAACCUUCCUGCGUGCUACCCAAGGAGUGCCUAGGGCUACCAGGAGGCCCAGGGAGGAACCUUGAGACCUGAGAAAGGCUUUUCUUCCCCGAGAGGACCACUGCUCAGGCUCAGAGGCCAUGGGGUGAAGUGCACAAAAAAGUGGGCGUCCAGCCAUGCUCUAAGUCCCCCGAAGAUGAAGACCAGGGAGCAGCUUCCUCCAAUGAAGCAGCAGCAAUCAGAGGACCAGGAGGCUGAAGCCCUGAGCCCAGCCAGAGGCAGGAUCAGCCAAGUCUGGGACAGGCUUCAAUUAUUUUAGGGGACAUCCACCUUCUGUCUUCAAACAGCAGAGCUUCUGGUUCCUGGGCCUUCAGACUUGGACUAGAACUUCACUACCAGCUUUCCUGGGUCUCCAGCUUGCAGAGAGCAGAUCGCAGAACUUCUUAGCCUCCAUAAUCACAACGUGUUUGCUUCCCCUUCCACCAUGAUUGUAAGUUUCCUGAGGCCUCCCCAGUCCUGCAGAACUGCUUUGAAGAAGACCACUGCGUCGGUAUUUGUGAAAUGUUUUGAGCCUCUGGAUUUAAAUAAGGUGAAAUAUAAAGGAUCCUUUUCACUACUGGGCACGCCUAACUGCAUGUCUUCUAAACACUGCUUGUGAUGGUCAUUCAUACCAAAGGACGGAAACAGAAAGCACAGAUCACAAAAUCCUCUGGCCAAAUGGGGAAUCUGACCCUGAAACGAAGGAGCAGUGUCAAUGUCCUGAGCCCCACUGCCAGCCUCAGCUCUAUGAGAAAGGUGGCAGAGAGGUGGCAAGGAGGCACACACAAAAGACUGGUGUUUGUCCUCUCCAUGCUUCUGCCAAAUCUUAUAACCUCCCGUCCCCGACUGGCAAGCCAAAUAGUAGCACCAUCCCUACAGGUUACAUUAUACCCUGAAAUUAACAUUACAAAUCAAACCACUUAGUUUUAAAGUGCUUUUCACAAGCCUACUAACUUAAUCCAUGACUAGUGCUAUGGGGGUUGUUAAUAGGUUCUCACAUCUCCCCAAAACAGCCCUAUUUAAGACCCCUCCUCCAUUACCCACACACCAGCCUGCCUUCCUCACUCAGGGUGAGGACCCACAGUGAACGACAGUAGUAUUCUCCUCUCUCUUCUGUUGACCUAGAUUGACCUGAGUGGGGGUUUUAAGACUGAUCUCUCUUCCCUCUUCUCAUACCAAGUCUAAAUUCCACUGCUGGGCUUUCCCUGCCUGCUGUGAUUUGACUCUACCUUUCUAUACAGCCAACUUCUUACCACCCACACGCUCACCUCUGCCUCAGUCCUCAGGCCUGGAAAGGCCCUUUGAAUCUUCCUUUAUGCCUCUCCUGCAGAUCCAGGCACAAGUCCAACCCUCCACCAGCCUGAAUCCGUCUUUUCCUCCUCUGAAUUCCUAUGGCAUUUAUAGUUAGCACCCUACAAUUUACUGAACCACUUAAUUAUAUGCUCUCUGGCAUUGCUCAGUGAUUAUGUCUUGCUUUUAGUCUGGCCUCCUGAGUAGAUAUUGAAUCUCAGUGGGGCAGAAACUAUACUUUAUACAUGUUUAUUGUAUCCUCAAGAGCACCUACUAUUACUAAUGGCAGUCAGCACUUAGUGUAUACGACACACAGUACUUUAUGUAUGCUAUCUAUUUAAUACCACAAUAUCUCUAACAAGGCAUUAUCAUGCCUAUUUUUCAGAUGGAAAACCAAAGCUCAGGGAGUUUUACAUGGGCAGGCAGCUGGUGAGGGCUGAGACUGGAGCCAGGCCAGUGGUCUUCAAAGGCUUUAGUCAAACUUUUUGACAGAUAUAAGAAAACCGAACUAAGGAAAAUACUUUCCUGGGAUCAUCCCUAUAUGAAGUGGCAGACCUGGAAUUGCUCCCUGUUUCAAAACAUGUAAGCUCCUCAAGAACAGGAACUUUUGUCUGUUUGUUCAUUGUUGUAUCUCCAAUCCUUAGAACUAUGCCUGGCUCAAAGUAGGUGCUCAAUAAAAUAUCUGCUGAAUGAACAAAUGCAAUCUAAUCACCAAACUUACUCUGAACGCUCACCAAGUGUGAGGCACUGCUCUUAUGAGAAAAGUAAUGUAAGAGACAUUCUAGUUUGUUUGACUAAACCUCACUCACCACAGAAUACUCACAAAGGGCUGUCCAGAAACAGAAAUGUGAUAAAAGCCUGCAUCCCGAACUUGGUGCCAAAUUUGUACUUUUAGACUUGAGAGGGUAUGGAGCUUCCUAUUCCCUGCCUGUUCCUCUCCUUCAGUCCUCCCUCCAUGGAAAUAAUCAGCCACCACAGCCCAGGAAGAAAGGGAAGCAGUCCCAUACCCCAGGAGCAGGCUGGCCUGCGAUAUCACAUCAGACUCCUGGGAUUCCAGAGAGAAAGGAGUCCCUGAGGCCCUGCAAGUCCACCUACGGGGGCUGUAGAGCUGGAGACCUGGGGCCUGGAUAUUAAAAUAACACAUGCAUAUCCACAGGCAGGGGGCGUGGGCCCUGCUCCUUCUGUAGGUUCUUUUAAACAUUUAUCUUCAGAAGUCUUUAUUUGUGCUAAGUCACUUAGAUCAAAACAAAAACACUUAUUUUUGUGUUUGCUUAAACAACGUAGAUCGUUUCUUCAGUUAUCUCCUGGCUAUAUAUGUGGACACAUCUUAGAUCUAGAGACUAAGAAAAGUAUUUUCUUGCUGUCCUGUACUUUCUACACAUUUGUAACCUGUGUUCAUAACAAAGGUAAUCAAUUUCCCGACAAGUAGUUAUUCAAGCUAGGUGAGACAAAUAAAGGAGAUAAAGAAGUUGCACGAUUUAAACAAACAAAAGGAACAGUCAGCCACCAAACAAAGCCCACAGUUCCAAUGUAAUGAUUUGAAAUAGUUUUGAUCUUUUUUGGUAGGGGAUGGGGCCAGGUCAUAACCAUGUAAAAGUAAUGAAAACAAACCAAGACUGCGGGGCCCUAAUUACUGUCAAGUUGUCAUUUUCUCCAAUUGCCUUGAAGGUUUGUUUCUUUUUAAAAUUCAGUGUAACCUUACAGGAGGCAAUAAGGGCUGGCGAAACGCGGUGGCAGUGGAAACUAGCUGGGCGGAUGCAGCAACUUUGGGAAUAGUGGGAUGCAGGGGUGGAAGACAGGCUGAGGGCAAAGGGGCUGCCAGGGCUUCUGAGGAGGCUCCCAGGAGACUGAUAAGAUCCCGAGGGGAUCGGAGAAGUGCGAGGGUCCAGUUACAUGUGCAGGAAAGGUGAUGAACCCCAGGUUUUUAUACUUGUUCAUGAGGCGCCAGCCUCAUGCUUAGUUUGUUUCUGAAGCAUAUCACCCUCACUCUAACUCCUAUCUAGAAUAUUCUUCUCCCAGAUCUUCCCGUAGCUGGCUCAGCUUUCACGUCACCUCUUCAGAAAGGCCUCCCUGACCACCAACCUGAAGUCACAACCUAGUUAGUCUCUCGCCCCUUUUCCAUGCUUUUUUUUUUUUUUUUGCCUUCAUGGCUGUUGGCACUACCUGAACGUUUCUUGUUUGUCAGUAUAUGUCCUCUGCGCCCCCAUACCAUGGUGUAAGCCCCAGGAGAGCAGAAACUUCCUUUGUCUACCCGACAGGGCUGAAGCCUCAGAGUCUGGAUCAGUGUCAGGUACGGAGAAGGUGCUCUGGUGGAAACCUCAGUGGCAACGUUCAGCUCACAGUGGGAAACUCGGGCCUUCAGACCAGGGAAGGGGGCCGUUUGAAGAUAUGAGUCUGGAGUGUGACUGAUGAAGCCAAAAGCAGGCACAAACUCUCUUUUUAUGACCAACUUUGGAUAAUGAGCUCAAGCCAUGUAUAAAAACAUUCCCCAAAAGUGCUUUUCUAGAUGAAAGGGAGAAAAAUAGCUAAAGUGAUCCAUCUUCCUUUCUUUGAGGAAGGUUGGCACCGCUUCUGUUGCUUCCAGGAAGAUUGCAUACACAUGUAAAACCGGAAAAACGUUAAUGAAGAGAAAAACUAAAAGCUCCCGCCCCCACCCAGGCCUGCUCAGAAGAACCCAAGCCACUCAGAAGCAGGAGGCAGCCUUCACCCCAACCAGACCAAUAUCCGUUCCAGACUCAGGAUUACAACAAUCUGGGAGAGGGUCAACCAAGUCAGAGUCCCACAUGGCAGAAGAGCUGCUUUAGCUUAAGACUCUUAACUCUUUUUCUUCGGGGCAGGAAAGGUUUGAGCCAAUGAAGGAUGAGGCUUUCCAGGCCCAGGACACAACCUUGAUCCAAGGCCUAGUUGUGGCUUUAAUUUUUGUAAAUCAAGCCUCAAGUUUUUCUUCACUCUUUUAGCCAAAGAUAUGUUUCCCAGGAUGCAUGAAAUAAAUAAAUAAAAUGUACCAAAUUAGAGAUUGUGAGACAUGUAUGUCACUUAAAUCCUUUGUAGGCAA
rnacentral:lncRNA from 10 species